rnacentral:rRNA from 1 species
UACAGAGGGGGCAAGCGUUGUUCGGAAUUACUGGGCGUAAAGGGCGCGUAGGCGGCCUGUUAAGUCGAACGUGAAAUCCCCGGGCUCAACCCGGGAACUGCGUCCGAUACUGGCAGGCUUGAAUUCGGGAGAGGGAUGUGGAAUUCCAGGUGUAGCGGUGAAAUGCGUAGAUAUCUGGAGGAACACCGGUGGCGAAGGCGGCAUUCUGGACCGACAUUGACGCUGAGGAGCGAAAGCCAGGGGAGCAAACGGG